rnacentral:rRNA from 1 species
UACGUAUGGUGCAAGCGUUAUCCGGAUUUACUGGGCGUAAAGGGAGCGCAGGCGGCAUGGUAAGCCAGAUGUGAAAGCCUUGGGCUUAACCCGAGGAUUGCAUUUGGAACUAUCAAGCUAGAGUACAGGAGAGGAAAGCGGAAUUCCUAGUGUAGCGGUGAAAUGCGUAGAUAUUAGGAAGAACACCAGUGGCGAAGGCGGCUUUCUGGACUGAAACUGACGCUGAGGCACGAAAGCGUGGGGAGCGAACAGG